rnacentral:rRNA from 1 species
AUUGAACGCUGGCGGCAGGCCUAACACAUGCAAGUCGAACGAGUGGCGGACGGGUGAGUAAUGUCUGGGAAACUGCCCGAUGGAGGGGGAUAACUACUGGAAAAGGUAGCUAAUACCGCUUACCACUGGAUGUGCCUAGAUGGGAUUAGCUAGUAGGUGGGGUAACGGCUCAUCUAGGCGACGAUCCCUAGCUGGUCUGAGAGGAGGACCAGCCACACUGGAACUGAGACACGGUCCAGACUCCUACGGGAGGCAGCAGUAGGGAAUAUUGGACAAUGGGCGCAAGCCUGAUGCAGCAAUGCCGCGUGUAUGAAGAAGGCCUUCGGGUUGUAAAGUACUUUCAGCGAGGAGGCGUUACUCGCAGAAGAAGCAACGGCUAACUCCGUGCCAGCCGCCGCGGUAAUUC